AACGAACGCUGGCGGCAUGCCUAACACAUGCAAGUCGAACGAGACCGUCGGGUCUAGUGGCGCACGGGGGCGUAACGCGGGGGAACCUGCCCGUAGGUUCGGAAUAACUCCCUGAAAGGGGUCUUAAUACCGGAGAAGGUCUUCGGACCAAAGAUUUAUCGCUUUUGGAUGGGCCCGGGUUGGUUUAGCUAGUUGGUAGGGUAAAAGCAUACCAAGGCGACGUUCCAUAGCUGGUCUGAUAGGAUGCUCCGCCACGCUGGGAAUGAGACACGGCCUAGAAUGCUACGGGACGGAGCAGUAGGGAAUAUUGGGCGCUGGGCGCAAGUGUGAUCCAGCCGUGCCGGGUAAGUGGUGCAGGCGUUAGGAUUCUACAGCUCUUUUAGCCGGGAUGAUAGUGACAGUAACGGGAGAAUAAGCACCGGCUAACUACGUG
rnacentral:rRNA from 1 species